AAGGAAAGUAGCCGUAGGUCGUAGGUACGUUUUAUUUGCGGUUGCGCAAAAACAAAACAGCUGUUAUUGAUUGUUACUUACAUCGAACGUAUAAAUGGAUUAUUUAUACGUUCAUCAAUUUUGAGAAGGCAAGCGAUUUAUUGGGUUAUUUACGUCGGUCACACGUGACCUUUACAGUUUUUACGUACAUAUUCGGAUUUGCACCUGCUGCGCAAUAUUGUUUAAUAUAAAGCAAGAAAAAGGCCGAUGGAAAUCGAAAGAUGUGCAAGAGGCGCCGGGUCCCCUUAACAAUAAAUUGGAGGUGUACGCUGUCGCUAUAAAAAUAGUUACAGGUUCGUGGGAAUUAAUAAUGGAUAAAGAGUCCAGAGAUAAACCGUGUUAAUGGAACGAAGCUCAUGUUCUACGACUCUUGUAAGGAACAAGCACAUCGACAAGUUGAUGCUCCUUCGUAAUGGAAAUUAUGUCGAGUUCAAUCGUGAUAUAUCUACUAACACGAUUAGUUAAAUAUGUAAUCUCCAUUGAAUGAGAGAUUUGUAUAUUUACAAGAUGCUAAUACAUGUACCUGUGUAGAAACACGAGCACGUGAGACAUUGUUAGACACGUAUCUCGUUCUGUUUGAUGGGUGCACCGUAGUAUGUAAACGAAGACGUGUCAUUCGCUAACAAAGUUACACAAAUAUUGUCAACAAAAUUUGUAUCCUGAUAAUUAAACGAUUAUCCUAUUCGUCA